rnacentral:rRNA from 1 species
UAGCGGCAGGCCUAACACAUGCAAGUCGAACGGUAACAUAAGAGCUUGCUCUUGAUGACGAGUGGCGCACGGGUGAGUAACGCGUAUGCAAUCUACCUAUAACUGAGGGAUAGCCCAGAGAAAUUUGGAUUAAUACCUCAUAAUAAUAUUUUUUGGCACCAUUAAAUAUUUAAAACCCCGGUGGUUAUAGAUGAGCAUGCGUUCUAUUAGUUUGUUGGUGAGGUAAAGGCUCACCAAGACUACGAUAGAUAGGGGGCCUGAAAGGGUGAUCCCCCACACUGGUACUGAGACACGGACCAGACUCCUACGGGAGGCAGCAGUGAGGAAUAUUGCACAAUGGAGGAAACUCUGAUGCAGCCAUGCCGCGUGCAGGAUGACGGCCCUAUGGGUUGUAAACUGCUUUUUUACAAGAAGAAACCUUGGUACGUGUACCAACUUGACGGUAUUGUAAGAAUAAGCACCGGCUAACUCCGUGCCAGCAGCCGCGGUAAUACGGAGGGCGCAAGCGUUAUCCGGAUUUAUUAGGUUUAAAGGGUUCGCAGGCGGAAUUUUAAGUCAGUGGUGAAAGCCUAUAGCUCAACUAUAGAACUGCCAUUGAUACUGAAAUUCUUGAGUAUAGAUGAAGUGGGCGGAAUAUGUCAUGUAGCGGUGAAAUGCAUAGAUAUGACAUGGAACACCCAUUGCGAAGGCAGCUCACUAAACUAUUACUGACGCUCAUGAACGAAAGCAUGGGGAGCGAACAGG